rnacentral:lncRNA from 1 species
GGGACAUUUAACUACAGAGUCACAUCCCCACCCCUAUUUUAUAUUUUAUUUUGAGACAGGGUCUUGCUAAAUUGCUCAGGGCCUCUCUAAGUUGCUGAGGCUGGCUUUGAACUUGCAAUCCUCCUGCCUCAGUCUCCAGAGCCACUGGGACUCCAAUCACUUUUCCCCAUGCCUCAGACCAUCCUGUUUCUUGAUCCCAUAAACCCUAUCUGCAGGGAGGUGGGCUUGAGACUUGGGGCUCAGGCCUCCUCAUGUUUGGCUGCCUUGUGAGUAAACUCCCUUUUGCAAACUCAUUGUUUCUUGGGCAAAAGGGCCUGGUUCAGUAACAAAAUCCCAGCCCCCAGCACGUCAGAAUGUGAGUAUAUUCAGAAGUAAGGUCUUUUUUUAAAAAAUUAUUUUUUAGUUGUCGUUGGACACAAUAUCUUUAUUUUAUUUAUUUACUUUUAAUGUGGUGCUGAGGAUCAAACCCAGGGCCUCACACAUGCUAGGCGAGCAUUCUAUCGCUGAGCCACAAUCCCAGCCCCAGUAAGGUCUUUAGAGGUGAUCAGGUCAAAAUGAGAGCCCUGAAUCCAGUGCGACUUGUGUCCUUGGAAGAAGGACAUGAGGACACAGAGAUACCAGGACGCACACCCAGAGGAAAGGCCAUUUAAAAUAGGUGAAGAUAGCCAUCUAAAGGCAAGGAGAAGGGCCUCGGAAGAAUCAAACCCAUCCACACCUUGAACUUGGACUUCCAGCCUCCAGAAUGGCAAGAGAUUGAUCUCAGUAGUGGAAGCUCCCAGCGUGGAGUGUUUUGUUAAGAAGCCAGUGGUACAAGGCCCCUCCCAGAAGGGCCUCAGAGAAAACAACCCCCUGUGCCAGCCCCGCCCCCCACCUCAAUGCCAAAACAUGGGCUUAGCAUGUUCUCUGUUUUGUCACCAAGGUGGAAAACAUCCAGUGUCUUCACAACCCAGGGCCUGGCCAUGGACAGGGAACAGGGUCUGAGAAAGCUGUACAUUCAAAGCAAGGAGUCCCUGCAGAUCUCCCCUCGAGCAGGCUUCACGAUGCUUUAAAAAAUACCUUUCUGUUUAUCACUCAUUUCAUUAUAACCACAGUAGGAAAAGAAAGACAGUUUCGGGGCAUUUCAAUUUUAUAAAUGAGGAAGCCAAGCUUUGAGGAAGUUGAAUUGUUGGCCCGAGGUAUUCUACCAUUGUUAUUAGAUUCUGCAUCAGUUAAGGUGGUAGACAUUGGUGUUGGUUGCCACAUAGUCCCAGCUUUUACCAUUUGGGAAAAUGGUAGGAAUUGCUCACUAGCAGCUUUUGAAAUAAGGCAUGUCCACGUGACUGGCUUUAAUCAAUCCAAUGACAGGGGAAGUGCUAGGGGUCACCUCAGGGCAGAAGUUUCUAGGGCCAGGGAGCAAUUUGCAACAUUCUCUGUCCAGCCUCCAGUAACCAGGGGUGUGAUGAGCUCUGCCCACCCUCAAGGGGUCCGUGACCUGAAGGAAGUUAACUUGUACUAAGCCACUGAGUCGUUGAGAGCUGUUUGUUAUCAUACCUAACCUGACUUAUUCUGACCAAUCCAGGUAAGAUCCUUUUAGCUGCAGGAAAAAGAAAAAUCCAUCAGAAAGUGUCUCAACCACAAGAACAUUAAUUAUCUCCUGUAACAAACAGUCUGAAAAUAAAGAAGUUCCAAGUUUGAACAAUUGUGAGCCUCAAUGACAGCCUCAAGGACCCAAGUAUUUUUCCCCAUCAAACUCAGCACUUCAUUCCCCCCCC